GACAGAGGGUGCAAACGUUGUUCGGAAUUACUGGGCGUAAAGCGUGCGUAGACGGCUAUCUAAGUCGGGUGUGAAAGCCCCGGGCUCAACCUGGGAAUUGCAUUGGAUACUGGCAGGCUAGAGUGCGGUAGAGGGUAGUGGAAUUCCCGGUGUAGCAGUGAAAUGCGUAGAGAUCGGGAGGAACACCAGUGGCGAAGGCGACUACCUGGACCAGCACUGACACUGAGGCACGAAAGCGUGGGGAGCAAACAGG
rnacentral:rRNA from 1 species